rnacentral:lncRNA from 1 species
UAAAAAUAAUGAAUAGAUAAUUUGUAAUGUUUAGUCAAAAAUUGAUCAAUUUGACUUCUCAAAAAGCAAAAUGGACAUGUAAAAGGAGACGGAGGGAGUAACAUAUUAACAAAAUAAAGGAAUAUAUUUUAUUUCUAACAAUUUAAAAUAAUAACAAUAUAUCGUUUAAAAUACAACAAACCAAUAUAUAUAUUAGGUACCAUCGGAGCACACGAUACCUUGCAAGAAAUUUUAAAUAAUCAGAUCGUGCCCGAGCCUCCAAUAUCUUGUAGAAAACUUUACAUAAUGAGUAUUUUAUAUCAUUCCAGCCAACCAUUUUACCCUCUUGGACUUUAUGUAUUAUAAAUACUCCCUCCGUCUCAAUUUAUAGGUCUCUUUUGGGAAAAAAAUUUGUCCCAAAAUACUUGUUCCUCUUUUUUUUCAAUACAAAUUUAUCUACAUAUUAAUUGUGACUUUUUGAAACUCAAUAUUAUUCUCAUUUCUCAAUGCACUAAAUCCCUAUAUUUA